rnacentral:rRNA from 1 species
GGACUACCAGGGUUUCUAAUCCUCUUCGUUACAAAAGCCUUCGUCCCUCAACGUCAGUUUUUACAUAAAGACUUGCCUUCGCCAUUAUCCGUCUUCAUAGUAUCAAAACAUUUCAUCUCUCCACUAUUUAUUCCCCUAAGUCUCUCGUAUCAAACUCUAGUAUUAUCUAUAACCUUUGUAAGGUAAGAUAUACAGUCUAGGUACCCUUUAAACCUAAUAAAGAUGACUAACACUAGUCUUUCUUGUCUUACCGCGGCUGCUGGCAC